UAGUCCACGCCGUAAACGAUGAUUACUCGCUGUAGGCGAUACACAGUCUGUGGCUAAGCGAAAGUUUUAAGUAAUCCACCUGGGGAGUACGAUCGCAAGAUUGAAACUCGAAGGAAUUGACGGGGGCCCGCACAAGCGGUGGAGCAUGUGGUUUAAUUCGAUGAUACGCGAGGAACCUUACCAGGGCUUAAAUGCAGAGCGACCGUUCUGGAAACAGAACUUUCUUCGGACGGUCCGCAAGGUGCUGCAUGGUUGUCGUCAACUCGUGCCGUGAGGUGUCGGGUUAAGUCCCAUAACGAGCGCAACCCCUAUUCUUAGUUGCCAGCGAGUAAUGUCGGGGACUCUAGGAAAACUGCCAGUGUAAGCUGUGAGGAAGGUGGGGAUGACGUCAAAUCAUCACGGCCCUUAGUCCUGGGGCUACACACGUGCUACAAUGGGUCGGGUACAGAGGGGCAGGCUACCCAGUGAUGGGGAUGCAAA
rnacentral:rRNA from 1 species